rnacentral:rRNA from 2 species
CAGGCGGUCUGUCAAGUCGGAUGUGAAAUCCCCGGGCUCAACCUGGGAACUGCAUUCGAAACUGGCAGGCUUGAGUCUUGUAGAGGGGGGUAGAAUUCCAGGUGUAGCGGUGAAAUGCGUAGAGAUCUGGAGGAAUACCGGUGGCGAAGGCGGCCCCCUGGACAAAGACUGACGCUCAGGUGCGAAAGCGUGGGGAGCAAACAGGAUUAGAUACCCUGGUAGUCCACGCCGUAAACGAUGUCUACUUGGAGGUUGUGCCCUUGAGGCGUGGCUUCCGGAGCUAACGCGUUAAGUAGACCGCCUGGGGAGUACGGCCGCAAGGUUAAAACUCAAAUGAAUUGACGGGGGCCCGCACAAGCGGUGGAGCAUGUGGUUUAAUUCGAUGCAACGCGAAGAACCUUACCUGGUCUUGACAUCCACAGAAGAAUCCAGAGAUGGAUUUGUGCCUUCGGGAACUGUGAGACAGGUGCUGCAUGGCUGUCGUCAGCUCGUGUUGUGAAAUGUUGGGUUAAGUCCCGCAACGAGCGCAAC